CAUGCGGCAUCUAUACUGCAAGUCGACGCACUCUCGUUAGAUUGAAGAAGCUUGCUUCUGAUUGAUAACAUUUGAGUGAGUGGCGGACGGGUGAGUAACACGUGGGUAACCUGCCCUAAAGUGGGGGAUAACAUUUGGAAACAGAUGCUAAUACCGCAUAAAACCUAGCACCGCAUGGUGCAAGGUUGAAAGAUGGUUUCGGCUAUCACUUUAGGAUGGACCCGCGGUGCAUUAGUUAGUUGGUGAGGUAAAGGCUCACCAAGACCGUGAUGCAUAGCCGACCUGAGAGGGUAAUCGGCCACACUGGGACUGAGACACGGCCCAGACUCCUACGGGAGGCAGCAGUAGGGAAUCUUCCACAAUGGACGAAAGUCUGAUGGAGCAACGCCGCGUGAGUGAAGAAGGUUUUCGGAUCGUAAAACUCUGUUGUUGGAGAAGAACGUAUUUGAUAGUAACUGAUCAGGUAGUGACGGUAUCCAACCAGAAAGCCACGGCUAACUACGUGCCAGCAGCCGCGGUAAUACGUAGGUGGCAAGCGUUGUCCGGAUUUAUUGGGCGUAAAGCGAGCGCAGGCGGUUUCUUAAGUCUGAUGUGAAAGCCUUCGGCUCAACCGAAGAAGUGCAUCGGAAACUGGGGAAACUUGAGUGCAGAAGAGGACAGUGGAACUCCAUGUGUAGCGGUGAAAUGCGUAGAUAUAUGGAAGACACCAGUGGCGAAAGCGGCUCAACCCGAAGAAGUGCAUCGGAAACUGGGAACUUGAGUGCAGAAGAGGACAGUGGAACUCCAUGUGUAGCGGUGAAAUGCGUAGAUAUAUGGAAGAACACCAGUGGCGAAAGGCGGCUGUCUGGUCUGUAACUGACGCUGAGGCUCGAAAGCAUGGGUAGCAAACAGGAUUAGAUACCCUGGUAGUCCAUGCCGUAAACGAUGAGUGCUAGGUGUUGGAGGGUUUCCGCCCUUUCAGUGCCGCAGCUAACGCAUUAAGCACUCCGCCUGGGGAGUACGACCGCAAGGUUGAAACUCAAAGGAAUUGACGGGGGCCCGCACAAGCGGUGGAGCAUGUGGUUUAAUUCGAAGCAACGCGAAGAACCUUACCAGGUCUUGACAUCCUUUGACCACUCUAGAGAUAGAGCUUUCCCUUCGGGGACAAAGUGACAGGUGGUGCAUGGUUGUCGUCAGCUCGUGUCGUGAGAUGUUGGGUUAAGUCCCGCAACGAGCGCAACCCUUAUUACUAGUUGCCAGCAUUUAGUUGGGCACUCUAGUGAGACUGCCGGUGACAAACCGGAGGAAGGUGGGGACGACGUCAAAUCAUCAUGCCCCUUAUGACCUGGGCUACACACGUGCUACAAUGGAUGGUACAACGAGUCGCGAGACCGCGAGGUUUAGCUAAUCUCUUAAAACCAUUCUCAGUUCGGAUUGUAGGCUGCAACUCGCCUACAUGAAGCCGGAAUCGCUAGUAAUCGCGGAUCAGCAUGCCGCGGUGAAUACGUUCCCGGGCCUUGUACACACCGCCCGUCACACCAUGAGAGUUUGUAACACCCAAAGCCGGUGAGGUAACCUUCGGGAGCCAGCCGUCUAAGGUGGGACAGAUGAUAGGGUGAAGUCGAAUCAUAGAG
rnacentral:rRNA from 2 species